UCUCUGUCUCUUAGUGCCCCCCUGGUGCCCUCAAGAGUCGCCGCGCUGCCGAAAAUGACCUGGAGCAGCAGGUCCUUGCCUUUAAUCAGUUGGCUUCAGUUGGACAUGCUGGACAGCACGGAAUGAAGGGGGAGAAGGGAGAUCAGUGCAAAGAGGGACGCAUUGGACAGAAGGGAGAAAGGCGAGUCUGUG